AGUAUUGUAUUUUCUGAAAAUUGAUAGCACCUAUCUAGAUAAACGCGUUAAAUAAAUACGUAAAUACAUUCAAUAAAUUAUUGUAUUUGUAUAAGUAGUAAGUAAACAGUAGAUCGAUCAGUAAGCAGCUGCUGAUGAACGUGUUUUGCAAACAUAUUGAUAACAAUCACACGUUUGGAAGGAAAACAAAUGGACGCCUGGAAACCGCUGCUUCGUGAUUUACAACGACAUAGAAUGCAUAUGCCACAACGAACAAACAUUUUAGACGUGGUUGGACCUACAAGACCAGACGACCAUGAGGUCACCGAAGCCAUACCACGGCGACCACAUGGGCAAAGUUGCAAACGGUGCAACUUGCCCGGAUGUACAAAGUCGUGCGCAAGGUGCAUGAAAGUGUUCUACUGCUCAAAGUCCUGCCAAACGUGCGACUGGCCGACGCACAAGCAGACGUGCAAAAGGUUGGGUGACACCGGUACCACCCAGUCUUCUGCAGCCAAUGGUGGGACAGAGUUGGUUUUACUGACAAUAAAGGAGAUCUUUCCUACAGAGGACGACCAUUUUUAUCAUGUUGUCGAGCACACCUUUCUGGUCCAGAGGCAGUUGAAGUAGUGGACUUAAAGAUCUGAAUAGGCUAACAAACACUUGGGUUGAGGGUGGCAUGUUAGUUGUACAUAUAACUCCGAUAAUUUAGUUACUUGUUACCAGUUCUUAUACAAUCAUACCAGGCUAGCGACCAUGUUAUUGACUGUUUUCAUUUAGAUUUAAAAUUUUUUAAAUAUUGUAUUUGUCAAAUAAAACGUUUUUUUUUCUGAAUCAUCUAUUUAAAAAUGUUUUCAAAAUAUGACCUAUGUAUUUAAAAAAAAUAUGUAUUACAUUUUAUAUCUUUUAUCUGCUGAUUUAUUAGCAAAUCAUUAAAUACGUUUGGUCGCAUAAAAUCUGUUGAAGCCUUAAUAAUCUACAAUAUUUUGUAAAUAAAAUUGUCGUUGUUUUAAUGUAUAUUAUGUUUAUUAUUGUGUAAUUGUUAUUAUGUUUUUGCAAUAUUGUUUUGUUUAUUUAUUAAUGUUGUUGAAAUUGAAAGUUUAAGGAAUGCAUGAAGUAACAAAAUAAUUAUUUUUUAUUAAACAUCAAUGGCGUUCCGUUAUUGUUAGACCUACACUAGUGUUAAAUCCGUGAAUGCGAUGGGGGUAUACCCAAAUGUUUCAUGUAGAAAAUAUUCAGAUAAUGCACACAUGCUAUGAGAAACGGGUAUCAGGCUAUAGAAAAUGGUAAGAACUGAAACAAAAGAGCCGGAUUAUAGUAUAACGGGGCUUAUGCUUGUGCGUAAAGUGUCAUACCAGAUUAGCUUGUGCAAUCCGCACAGGCUAAUCUUGGAUGACCCUACCGCCUUACAUGGUUUUCAUUAAUAAGUGAUUUCCUUUAAACGAGAAAUACCAUAUACGCGGAAAGUGGCGUCCCUGAUGAGCAUGUUCGGACUACAAAGGCUAAUCUGAGACGACACAUUAAGCAGGGGUUUUGCCAAAGCACGGCUCUUAUGUUUGUUCACUCGGUGAACUUAUCAUAUCUAUUACUAUUACUAGUAAAGAGAUUUCAAUAUACAUGCAAAGACAGUUCAAUUUGCAUAAUUCUAGUAUGCAGGGUUUUUCCGUUUGUAUGCUAAAUUGUAUUAAUGUUGUCAUUCAAUGUAAAAGAAAAUCACCUUAAAAUUGUAAUGUAUGACGCUUUUUAGGGCUUUGUUUUAUAUUAAAUGCACCUCUGACACUAUCGAUCGCUGAUGAAAAAUAACACUAUCCACACCACUUACAAUUAUAAUGAAUACAUGUAUAUGAUCAUACAACAAAGUGAUUGUACAAAGCAAUAAAGUUCAGACAUGUUAUACAAGAUAUGCUAAUAUAUAUACUUUUUUGGUUUACUUAAGAUUAAAAAAACCCCAAAAAACUGGGUUAAUAUGUUUUUUUCUUUGGUUGUUUGUGAUAGGUGUUUUUUUUUUAAAGAGUAAAGAAAAGAACAACAAAAGAAUAGUUAUGAAAAAUGAUGAGUUGUAUAAAGUGGGAAGAAAACAUAUUGGACUUGUUUUGUGUGUUUUGUUGUAUAUUCACAAUGAUCUUAUAAGAUUGAAAAAAAACAUACAAAAAUAUUUUAGAAAGAUAAACUAACAUUAGAGUGAAAUGUAUAUAAGUGGACAAACAUUAUGAGAAUUUAAUCCGAUUCCAUUUUUGUUCGAAGAUUUGUAAUGUGUCAUUACUGAGGGCUAUUUCUUUCUCAAUCUGGAUUUUUAGUUUAAGACUAUGGACAAAACAAUUAAAAUUUGGUACUUGUUUUUUGUACUUCAUGUUAAAGAUAAAAUAUUUCAUCAAUAUAAGAAUAAAAUUCACAAUAUUAUUACAGUCUUUUAAUUUCAAUGAGUAAAUUCCGAAACUGACAUUUAAGAAAGAUAGUUUAACGUUUAGUUGCUGUUGUUCAAGAAAAGAUACUAAUUGAUUCCAAAUAGGCUGGAUGUGUUUGCACUCCCAAAAAGUGCAUUUUUGCAUUUAAAGAGAAAUUUAUUUGUAGCUAUAACUCUAUGGAUGUAUUUAUAUUGAAAAUUUCUCAGUGUGCUUUCAAUAGUUGCUUUAUAUGGCAUGGUAAAUAUAUGUUUCCAAUUAAGUUCAUGUUCUCCGAAAAGGACUUGCCAUUUAUUUUGGGUUUUGGAGUUUUCUGUAGGGUUUUUAAUUUGUAGUGUGUAAAAUAUUUUAUUCGUUUUGUUUUUUCUUCCAAGUAUGUUUUCUACGAAUGUUGUUUGAGUACAUGAUGUAUUAUUUGUAUUGAUUUCAGAUUUAAUAUGUAUGGGUAUGCUUUUGAUUAGUGUGUAGUACUUCAGAAAAUUAUUUGAAGGUAUUCCGUAUAUGUGGCAUAUAUCAUCAAAAGAGUAGAACUCCUUAAUUCUGUAGUCAUAUAAUUGGUCGACAUAUUUAAUGCUCCGUUCAAACCAAUCUUUAUAGAAAAACGUCUUAUUGUUUGAAGUUAUGUCUUUAUUGUUCCAUAAAAUAGUUUUACUGCUGGUUUGGGUUUCUAGGUUAUGAGUGACAUCACUCCAUUCUGAUAGAACAUCAGACAGAAAUAUGUUUUCGUUUGCAAUUUCAUGUAAGAUAGUAUUGCUGAUGUUACAUUCAAAGAGUAAGGAUUUUAUUUUCAUAUUUUUUUAGGAUUUUCUGGUAGAAUAAUUUCCAUUUACUCGUAUUGGUAUUAUCUAGGUAUCUUUUAACCCAGCUGCAAUUGAUUGCAUUUAAGAAUGAGACAAUGCUCGUUAAUUGGAUACCUCCAUUUUCUACAGAUUGAAUUAACUGAGUUCGUUUUAUUUUACCAGGCUUACCGUCCCAUAUAAAGUUAAAUAUAGCUGAUUUUAUAUCGUUAAUAACAUCAUUUGGUGGAUUUGGGAGAACUGUUAAUACAUAAAUUAAUUUAGGAAGUGCAAACGUUUUCAAUACUGUGUUUUUUCCGAUUAGUGUAAGUUUACUGUGAUGCCAUGAUUUUAAGCAGUUUUUAAAAUUCUGUAAUUUAGGUAGUAUGCUUUUAAGAACUGUAUCCUUUUCAUUAUUUGUGAAAGUAAUUCCUAACGUUUUGGCUUCAUCGGAUGUCCAAUUAAAUUUCAUUUCUUUUUUAUAUUGGACAUUACUUUGUUUUAAUUUACCUACUCGUAGCACAGUACAUUUACCUUUGUUUAGUUUAAGACCCGAUGUCAUUCUGUAAUGGGUUAGCGACUCUAUUAGGUUAUGGAAAUAAUCGUAAUUGUCGUUUAAAAAAUAAGUUGCAUCGUCAGCAAAUAGGGACUAUUUGAUUUCUUCGUCAGGUUCUAGUGAUAUGCCUUUUAUGUGUUUAUUUGAUUGGAUGUGAUGUGAUAGAUACUCGAUGCAAAUAAUAAAUAGCGAUGAUGAGAGUGGAUAUCCUUGUCAAACCCCUCGUUCGAUGUUAAAACUGAAAAGAAGCCAUUGUUAAUGAUUAUACUGUUAAUACCGGUAUAGAAUAGUUUGACCCAUUGAAUGAGACUUUCACCAAAGUUCAUAUUUUCUAAGCAAGAGAACAUAAAUGAAUGAUCAAGCAAAUCGAAUGCCUUUUCAAAGUCUGCAAAGAAUAUUAGACCAGGAUUAUUUGAAUUGUUGAAUGCAUUCUUGGAUAAGACGAACGUUUUCACCAAUGUAACGUCCUUUUAUGAAACCAGAUUGAGGUUUUGAAAUGAUUGAUGGUAAUAUUUUUUUAUUCUGUUUGCUAUACUUUUAGUUGCAAUUUUAUAAUCAUUGUUUAGUAAACUAAUUGGGCGCCAGUUCGAUAAGGAUUCUAAGUUUUUUCCAGGUUUUGGAAUGAGUGAUAUUAUUCCUUGUUUUUGAAGCGUAGUAAGGUUUUCAUUAUUAUAUGAAUAGUUUAGUGAAUUAAUUAAAUGUGUUUUGAUAUCAUUCCAAAAUAUUUUAUAAAACUCAAUGGUGAUGCCAUCAGAUCCUGGACUUAUGUUAUUUUGCAUUUCUGUUAGUGCUAAUCCACAUUCAGAUUCAUCUAGUAAUCCGUCACACAAUAUUUUUUCUUCUUGAUUUAAAGAGUGAUGUGUAUUUUUAAAAAGGGUGUUAUUUUCAACAUUUUUUCGUUUAUAGAGGGUUUCAAAAAAUAAACGUUGUUAUUCUAGUAUUUGAGUUCUGUUUGUUAUAUCUUUGCCAUUGACUACUAAUUUGUGUACAAUUUUUUGUUCACUUCUACGUUUUUCAAUGUUUGUAAAGUAUUUUGUAUUUUUUUUCAUUGUGUUCAACAUGCUGUGCACGCGCUCUUAGUAUUAUUCCAUUGAGAUGUGUAUGAUAGAUUCCAUCUAAUAUUUGUUUUUUUAAUGUUAUUUCAUUUUCAAUGUCGGUGGUAUCAUUUGUGUUUGUUUGAUGCAAUUGUUUUUCAAGUGUUUCAAUGGUUUUGAUGGUUUCAGUUGUUUGUGUGUUUCUUUUUGUUUAAAUGAUGUGUAUCUAAUUGUUGUGUUACAAUUUAUUUAAUUCUUACUCUCAGAAAGAAUACGGCUAAUUUAUUGUUUUGUUUUGUGGAAUUGUCAGUAUUUAGUCUUCCGAUCACGUUAACUCUAUGCUUGUAACUACUUUGUAUUUUUUUGACGAGGAAAUUUGAUUUGUGUAUAUACAUCUAUUUGGUACUAAAUAUGAUAUAUUUA